GGCCUGGGGAAGGAGAUGGUCUGAUGAGGCCAGCACUGGGGACUAAGGACGUGGAGUGAGCAGGCCAGCCUGUGGGCCAGGCCCAGGUUGAACCAUGUUGCUUGCCUCAGUCUCUUCACAGAGCCCUCAGAGCCCCUCCCUGAGGAGUCCAAACCUGUGGAGAUGCCCUUCCACCACUGCCACAGGGACCCCCUUCCGCCGCCGGGCCUUACCCCUGAGAGGCUGCAUGCACGGAGGCAGCUAUAUGCUGCCUGUGCCGUUUGCUUUGUCUUCAUGGCUGGGGAGGUGGUCGGCGGGUAUCUGGCACACAGCCUGGCCAUCAUGACCGAUGCAGCCCACUUGCUGGCGGAUGUGGGCAGCAUGAUGGGCAGCCUCUUCUCCCUCUGGCUCUCCACCCGUCCAGCCACCCGCACCAUGACCUUUGGCUGGCACCGUUCAGAGACUCUGGGGGCUUUGGCCUCUGUGGUCUCCCUCUGGAUGGUCACUGGCAUCCUCCUGUAC
rnacentral:lncRNA from 1 species